rnacentral:rRNA from 1 species
GACGAACGCUGGCGGCGUGCUUAACACAUGCAAGUCGAACGGAAAGGCCCUGCUUUUGUGGGGUGCUCGAGUGGCGAACGGGUGAGUAACACGUGAGUAACCUGCCCUUGACUUUGGGAUAACUUCAGGAAACUGGGGCUAAUACCGGAUAGGAGCUCCUGCUGCAUGGUGGGGGUUGGAAAGUUUCGGCGGUUGGGGAUGGACUCGCGGCUUAUCAGCUUGUUGGUGGGGUAGUGGCUUACCAAGGCGUUGACGGGUAGCCGGCCUGAGAGGGUGACCGGCCACAUUGGGCCUGAGAUACGGCCCAGACUCCUACGGGAGGCAGCAGUGGGGAAUAUUGCACAAUGGGCGGAAGCCUGAUGCAGCAACGCCGCGUGCGGGAUGACGGCCUUCGGGUUGUAAACCGCUUUCGCCUGUGACGAAGCGUGAGUGACGGUAAUGGGUAAAGAAGCACCGGCUAACUACGUG